UGGGGUGUCGCCAAGUGGUAAGGCAGCGGACUUUGAAUCCGCCAUUCGGGGGUUCGAAUCCUCCCACCCCAG
rnacentral:tRNA from 1 species